rnacentral:lncRNA from 1 species
AAGGUUUUCAUAUAAAUAGACUAACGAGACAAGAUGGUAAAAUAGAUUAUGACAUAGUUAACAAAAACAUACAUUGGGUGAUUAUUCUAUCAAAGUUCAUUAAUUAUCUUAGUACUAUUUUUUGACACGACUUGAACGUGUUUUGUGAAAUGUGAAUCUUAUUUAAAGAUAGUGUAACUUUAGACUAAUCAAUUUUCCAUAUAUAAAAGUUAGUGAAUCAUUGUAAUUUGAAAUUGAUAUUCAUGCCUAAUACAAAAGUUUUUUACUUUAAACAGUUGGUCAGUUUUGAUAACAUUCAAAAAUAUAAAAGGCUUCAUCGAAAGUACUUAGCAUAAGCACAUAAUUACAAAAACAAUAAUAUCAUCAAACAAAAUAAAUGUAAUUUUCAAAAGUGAAAAUUUGAAGAGGGAUAGAGAUAGAGUGUACACAUAUCAUAUCCGUAUUUCUUAGAGAUAAAGAAAUUAUUUCCAAUAAACACCAAACUUAUAAUAAAGUCAUAUUCCAACAAAUAGGAAAAGAAAUUUGGGUAAAUGAGAAUUGUAGCAACAACAAGAUAAGUGAAAACACAUGAUUAAGAAUUAAAAUCAAUCUAGUAGUUUUGCUAGGACGCAAAAACCCCAAAUGAAAAGGCAUGUAUGAAUAAUUGAAUAGAGAGUUACACNNNNN